AUACGGAGGGAGCAAGCGUUAUUCGGAAUCACUGGGCGUAAAGGACGCGUAGGCGGGUUUGUAAGUCAGGUGUGAAAUCCUACAGCUCAACUGUAGAACUGCACUUGAAACUACAGACCUAGAGUAUGGAAGGGGCAGAUGGAAUUAGUGGUGUAGGGGUAAAAUCCGUAGAUAUCACUAGGAAUACCGAAAGCGAAGGCGAUCUGCUGGGACAUUACUGACGCUAAGGCGUGAAAGCGUGGGGAGCAAACAGGAUUAGAAACCCGGGUAGUCC
rnacentral:rRNA from 1 species